rnacentral:antisense_RNA from 1 species
CUUCACCGAGCCCAGCCACAACGGCUCCGCGUCCACACCCCGGUCCCGCCCAUAGGUCGCCAGCAGCGCCUGCGCCUC